AGGUACCAUAUUUACAAGUCUUCGGAGGCUUCUACUAAGAGUAUUGAGGUUUCUGCGAUGCCUAAGAGAUGAGAAUUUUGAAAUAAAACUUUCUGUGCAAGAAACACCACCAAUGUACUCUGUCCAGAGCUCUGUCCGUCCAUGGUCUGAUGAUUAUGGAGAAGAUAAUGGCUACAUCCAUUUAGAUUAUUAUUGAGAAAAUGAUGACCAACUGUAAGAUUGUUUAAUUUAAAAACAUUUUUGAAGCACGCCAGCCUGCAAGUCUGCACUUUUGUGAAAGAAUCCUAUGAAAAUUUAAAAGUAGAAGUCAGUAACUGUAUGUUUAAGUCAACCAAUUUUGGUAAAAAUAAUGUGACAUCAUGGUUCUGUAUACUGAAAAAAAUGCACUUAAAUUGUACACAUUUGUGUACUUUGCACUGUGUACAUACUACUGAUAUGGUAUCUUUUAAUGUCGAUGUCUUUGAUAGAUUUCAGUUCAAGUUUAUUAACUGAUAUCAAUGUUUUUUUCUUAAUAUAAUUAAAUCGUAGUGCCUCCCCUGAUACACUUGAACGUGAUGACUGACAUUUAGACACUUAGGAACAUCAUUUUCUCUCAGGGUUAGAAAUGUCAUGAUUCAUCAUUUGUUUUAUGUGAAGUUCCUUAAUUUCACUUUAUAAAUGGCUGGGUUAUUUUUAACCCAUAAUGGGUAAAUAUUUGACAGAACACAUGCUGGGUUAAAAAUGAGCUCACCGUGGAUAAUAACAACCCAACAUUUGGGUUAAAACAACCCAGCAUUCGGUCAGUUUUAACCCAUCGGUGUGUUCUGUCCAAUAUUUACCCAUUAUGGGUCAAAAAUAACCCAGACAUUUUUAAAGUGUUAUUUUGGUACCGUUUUCCUGUUCCUUGGAAGAUGAAUACGGAAGCAAUGCCAAAGUUAAUGCAUUUUAUUUCUCUGGUACAUGUAUACUGAUAAACUCUAUGGGGUGGUUUUCCAGACAGGGCUUAUCCUAGUCCCAGACUAGAAUGCAUAUUUGAGCUGCUUUAAUAAAAAAAUAUCUUUCACUGACAUAUCUGAGAAUAUAUCAGUGCCAUUGUUUUGUCUUAAGAUGCACACAAGUAUUGUUUUUUGUAAGGUUUGUUUGUAAAAACGACCUAAAUGUC